UAUACUCUGAUUUCGUAGCUCUCUUAGGAGGUCGGUAGUACUAGCAGUUUGCGUCGGUAGUACCGGCUGUCUUACACCAGUAGUACCGGCCCAAACUGUCGGUGGUAUCGACAGGCAUUUAACUUCUGCAACUUGAGUUUUUGAGUUUCAGGUUUUUAGAUACGCCUAUUCACCCCCCUCUAGGCUACCAAGGAUCCUUACAAUCUGAUUAAUUCAUAUUUCUAUCUUUACUUUAGCAUAUUCAUCUUUAUGCAUAUCAAAAAGAAAUAAAAAUAUUUAUUGCUUCAUUUACUGCAUCACAAAAUAUUAAAAGCCCCACGUGAAUAAACUUAUGGUAACCCUGUAGGUAUAUUUAUUGUGGUGGCAUAAAGAAUAAUAAUAAUAGCUUCUGUAUUUACUUUUUUGCAUUAUGAAAAAGUCUAAGCCCCACAAGAGUAAAUAUUCUCUUUGGAGGUAUAAAAAUACAACUAUAUACCAUGCACACAUAUUUAAUUUCUGCAUAAUUAACUAGAAAACCCUAAAAAGAGAAUCAUGCUAGAAUCUGACAAUUCAAAUCAACUCAAAGAACAAUCAAUCACUUAUUGGUUGACCCCUAACCUAUUAUUAAAUUUGAGCCUUGAGUUUUGGUUUUUCUUGUUGGAGUAUAAUUAUGCAGGAACAAUAUUAUGACAAGGGGAGAGUAUCGACGGCACCCACCAAAACCGCUGCUGGUUAGCUCACUCUGAAGAUCAUCAACACCAAAGAUAGCAAAUAUCUAGCUUGGGGAGGAGCAUCCCCUAGUUAUCAGGUAACUAUACCUAGACGAUUAUUGAGUCUAUUUUAUAUAGUUAUAAACAACCAAAAAAAUAUGUAAGCACAUGAAGGUUCACAAUAGUAUCAUAGAAAAAUUUAAAAAUGCCAAAAAUAUUUGAGCACAUGAAGGCUCAUCCUUAAUUAAGAAAAACAUAAAAAAUAUUCGGGCAUAUUAAGGCUCGAUGUGAUGGUAGGGAUUAGCUUGGGGGAGACGCACCCCAUUAUCAUCGUGAUUAAGGUAUGUCUUUACUAUUAGUUUUAUUUUAGUAAGCUAUAGAAUAUGUUAGAUUAAAUAAUUAAAGUAUGUUUGAAGAACACUCUCUCUCUAAUUUCUUAAUAAAAUAGAAAUGAUGAAUAAUUGCUCUAUUGUAAUUUCUUUCCAGUACCUAGCUUUCAAACACGAGUUCUCCUAAUCAAUAAUUAUGCCUUAAAAUAAAAUUAAAUGCAUGGGUUGUAAAUGCUUGAUCUAAAAGUCUAGGUAAUCUGUGGAUAUGAUAUGUGAUGGUCUGAGCUGCUAUUAUCUUGUUCUAAAUCAACACUAGAGUUCCGGAGAUUUACCAAUAUUAAUCUGACUAAUAAUUGCAUUGAGUUAAAUUAAGCUUUGUUGACCCUAUGAGGAGUUAUCAUGCUAUUGAAUUGAGAUCAUGCAUACAUUCUAUUCAUUUGCCGCAUAAAUGCCCAUAAUUAUCUGUUGCUAUCCUCUCAAAAGUUUAUUAGAGGAUAUAUGGCUAUGAAAAGUAUAUGAGGAAAUAAAAAGGGACAAGUGUCCGAAACCUCAAAAAGAUAGAUCAUGAGGAAAUAAAAAGGAACAAGUGUCCGGAACCUCGAAAUAAAUAUCAAAAAAAAUGGGCACGUGCCCGAUAGUAGAAUUAGCCUCAUAGUCAUAUAUAUUUAAUAAACAAAAGAGAGUUAUAUAUAUAUAUAUAUAUUCAACUCCAUACAUGCACCUCUCAAUUCAAUGGUAUGGUUGACUUUCUCUUUGGAUCACAACAUAUGUUUCUGAGCUUUUGAAAAAAAAAAUUAAAAAAAGAAAAAAAAUAAAGAAAACUCCGAAAUAAAAGGUGAAGUGAAAGAACUAGAGACAUAGUACAUGAUUUGAUCGUUCUACCUUACAAUUACUCAAGAUCCAAGGUAAGAGCAAUAAGCCCUGAUGAAUAAUAUGAUAUAUCUGUUCUAAAUUCAAAGGAGAAUUUUUAUUUGAAGGUAUGAGUGCCUGAUUGAAAGUAAAAAUAUCGUAGCAACUCCUGAUCCACUACUAAGUUUGGCUUUGCUAAGGACUAGCAAAGGGUGAGCUUGGGGGAAUUGUUGACAGUUGUUAAGUACCAAAUAUAACUUUAAUAUAAAAUAAAUCACAAAGCAUAGUUAUAGGUUUUGAUUCUAAUGAGUUCCACGAGUUUUGGUGUUCUCACUUGUUUUGUAGGAAUAUGCAAUUUUUCAUCAAAUAAAAGUAUGUCAAAUGAUGAUUUGAACUAUACCAUUGCGACGCGCUCGUCGAGACGAUCGAAAUAGACAUAUCAUUUGCUAUAUUUAGAGUCCGGAGUGAAAAGAUAUUAAUUUUACAAAUAAAUGAGAAUUACCACUAAUAGGCCCCACGCCCAAGCAAGACCCAUGACGUGAGAAGAGGCUCAUAUAACAUGAUAGUGGCCCAAGAGAGGCGCCCCAAGCUGCUCCUUUGAGUGCUCACAUGAGGGAUGAUUGGAAGGCCCAAGUUGAUGUAUAAUAGCCCAACAGAGUAAACAGUGAAAGAAUUAGUCCCACAUCGCUUGUCCAGAAGAGGUGAGAGGCUUUUCUAUGCUAUAAAUAAAGAAGUAGACCCUCAUAUUUGAGGGCACCAUUAUUAUGAGUUAUAGAGGUGUCCCUUGAAUGGAUAACCUCUCUUCUCUAGAGAUUAAAAGAUAGGUGUAGCAAUUAGAAGAGACUAAUAAUAGAGAGAUAGAGUAGAGGAGUAGAGUUCUAGAGGAGUUCCGACAUGUCGGUGCUUCUUCGUUGUAUUCUUCGGGGUUUGGCUCCCUGUCGACGAAAGCUGGUCGGCAGUCUACCUUGGGGUAUGCCCACGGUAGUAGUUUAUCGGCAGACGGUGCGCAAACUACGAACUUGAUGGUGACGCAAGACACGGACAAGCUUUUUAUCCAGGUUCGGCCACCGAGUUGGCGUAAUACCUACGUCCUGCGUCUGAUUGUAUUGUAUUGAGAGAAUAAUGUGUGUUAAGGGGGGUCCCUUACCCCUCCUUAUAUAGUUCGGAGGGCAAAGGUUACAGAUCUGGAAACUAAUCCUAGUCGGUUACAAUUGCCAUAGAUAGUUCAAUAUCAAUUCCUAUUCUAACCGAUUAGAAUCCUGCUUGAUCUUCACAUCUUGUUUCCUUGCGCGAAACUCCAAGCUGUCGGAUCAAACCUUGAGCUUGUCUCGUAAUGGGCCAAGCCUCCUAGCCCAAGUCUAGCCGUAAGGGUAUAGGGGUUUAUACCCCCAC
rnacentral:lncRNA from 1 species